AGCCGGGUACGCAACUGGCGAUAGGCGCGGGCUCCCACGGGGCCUGCCGCUGACGUGGAAACCUGCAGGGGCCCGCCCCCUGUGAACCACCGGGGAGCGUACCGCUCAAUGCCCCAGGGCUCGCAGCGUUCCGCCGUUCGCCUGGGCAGCCCUU
rnacentral:ncRNA from 2 species